rnacentral:rRNA from 1 species
GGGUUGUGAGGUUAAGCGACUAAGCGUACACGGUGGAUGCCCUGGCAGUCAGAGGCGAUGAAGGGCGUGCUAAUCUGCGAUAAGCGCCGGUAAGGUGAUAUGAACCGUUAUAACCGGCGAUACCCGAAUGGGGAAACCCAGUGUGACUCGUCACACUAUCAUUAACUGAAUCCAUAGGUUAAUGAGGCGAACCGGGGGAACUGAAACAUCUAAGUACCCCGAGGAAAAGAAAUCAACCGAGAUUCCCCCAGUAGCGGCGAGCGAACGGGGAGGAGCCCAGAGCCUGAAUCAGCAUGUGUGUUAGUGGAAGCGUCUGGAAAGGCGCGCGAUACAGGGUGACAGCCCCGUACACAAAAGCGCAUGUGCUGUGAGCUCGAUGAGUAGGGCGGGACACGUGGUAUCCUGUCUGAAUAUGGGGGGACCAUCCUCCAAGGCUAAAUACUCCUGACUGACCGAUAGUGAACCAGUACCGUGAGGGAAAGGCGAAAAGAACCCCGGCGAGGGGAGUGAAAAAGAACCUGAAACCGUGUACGUACAAGCAGUGGGAGCACCCUUCGGGGUGUGACUGCGUACCUUUUGUAUAAUGGGUCAGCGACUUAUAUUCUGUAGCAAGGUUAACCGUAU